CCUACGUGAGGCAGCAGUGAGGAAUAUUGGUCAAUGGACGAGAGUCUGAACCAGCCAAGUAGCGUGAAGGAUGCCUGCCCUAUGGGUUGUAAACUUCUUUUAUCUGGGAAUAAAAUGUUCCACGUGUGGGAUUUUGUAUGUACCAUAUGAAUAAGGAUCGGCUCACUCCGUGCCAGCAGCCGCGGUAAUACGGAGGAUCCGAGCGUUAUCCGGAUUUAUUGGGUUUAAAGGGAGCGUAGGUGGAUUGUUAAGUCAGUUGUGAACGUUUGCGGCUCAACCGUAAAAUUGCAGUUGAAACUGGCAGUCUCGAGUAGAGUAGAGGUGGGCGGAAUGCGGGGUGUAGCGGUGAAAUGCUUAGAUAUCGCGAAGAACUCCGAUUGCGAAGGCAGCUCACUGGACUGAAACUGACACUGAGGCUCGAAAGUGUGGGUAUCAAACAGGAUUAGAUACCCUAGUAGUC
rnacentral:rRNA from 1 species